rnacentral:lncRNA from 1 species
UUGAGAGAACCACUUCUUUUAUAUAUAUAUAUAUCACAUUCAAUCAAGAUUUGUCGAAUGUAACAAUAUAUGUCCUCACUUUAUUCAUUAUUUUGCAAUGCACCAUGCAUAUGAUUAUCAUUAGAAAAUAACCGGAGACAGUUAAUUACCUUAUUCAUUAUUUUUCAUAGUUUUUCUUGACACCGUUCCACCCACGAAAAAAAUUAAAAUUCCUAUGAGUGAAUUUUUGCUUGUUUUUCAUUUUUCUUAACAUGAUAAGAACUUACAGAAUAUAUACAUUUGAGUAAGAUUAAUGCCUACCAUAAAAGAAGUGUUCUUAAAAAGUAAAAUAAAAUGACGUAAAUUUAUCGAAUAACUGAUACUAUUUAUCUUUCCUGAUCCAAUUUUUACGCAGAGAUGCGAUUGGGGGAGGCAAAACCUUGCACAAAACUUAGCAAAGGAUGGCGUGGGUUGUGUGCUCCUCAUAAAUGCAGCAGUUACUGUAUUCACCACGAGGGAGCUUACCAUGGUGCUUGUCUAAAAAAUCACCAUAGUAAGCAUUAUGGUUGCUACUGCUACUACCGUCAUUGCUAAUCAAUGAAUUUAUAUGUACUUGUUGGAGGUCAUGCCUUGUGCCCGUCUACAAUUUCGUACUGUGUUUAUGUUUCCAAUAAUAUUGCAAUCCUCGAGUGCUUUCGUUUAGAAAAGUAAAAGCUGCCUGUGUGAGCUCUUGCAGCUGGAGGUGUCACUUGUGUCCACUAGUUCGUGUUACUUUUGUUGUACUUGUAUUACCUAAAUAUUGAAGAUUGUAAGUUUCUUUUAGUCUGUUUAUUGAUCAAAAUAUUAAGUGAGGAUGUGUUAAAGAUAGGAUUUAAAUAAAUAGAUGUGUCCACUCAUUGAACAUAGAAUUUUAUAUGAAGUGGUUCAACAUGACAUUAGA